ACCACAUGUAGCAGAUGUUAGCUAUAGAGCAGCCCACCACAAAGUUAUGCAUAUACCUAACUCAAAACAUUAUGAGACUGUUGAUGAUUCAAAGAAAAAAAACACUCAAAUGUGCAGACAUCAAGUGUGAAGUCUAUAGUUGACAACAGAAUGUCACAAUAGCAAAGGUUGGACAAGACUGCUGACCCGUCUGCAUGACCAUAUCUUACACACUCCAGCUACUUCCUGGUCUGUUCAGCUUAUAAGUCAUUGACCUGUUUGGAGGAAGGGGUGUUUUCUUAGGGGAUGGCUCUGUGCCCUGUAACUUGAACUUGUAAGCUUCUUCCACCUCCUUCUUCACAUCAGUUUGAUUCUUAGGCCCAACCAGGACCCAAAGAUGGAAAAGCGCUGGGAUUACAGGUGCCAGCUGCCAUCCUCAGCUUUUUAUGCAGGUGCUGAAGGUGUAAACUCGGGUCCCCAUGCUGAUGGAGUAAGUGCUCUCACCUCCUGAGUCACAUCCCCAACUCUUCCACCUUAUCUUUUGAGGCAGGGCCUCUCACCGAACCUGGAACUCACAUCACAAACCUGAAAGGAGGGAGUUAACGCCAGCAGCCAGCAUCUGCCCUCCUGCAGUAUACCCCAUUCCUGCUUUUCCUUGGCAGACAGGCACAGAUGGUGUGCAACGUGUGAACUGGGGAGAAGAGGACACGGAAACCAUUAAGAGAACAGGUAGCCUCUGGCCACCCCUGCUCCACCCGUCCAGGAAGUAUUACAGUUCACGCGUCAAAGAAACCAGCUGUUGUUUCAGAUCUCUAAUCUAUACUCAGGAAACCAGCAGGAAAGCAU